GAGGUAAGGCUCAUCUGGGUGUGACAUUGGUUACCCCAUUGAUUGUGAUGGUUAAUUCGGCUAACCUGGGUGGCUAGAUGGGUGUGCCUUUCUUCCUUCACCUUCGCAGGUGCAUCCCUCCCAAACCUGCAUGCUUGUUGGAAGGGGGGGGGAACCAUCCCAGAUAGGAAAAAUGUACAGUUCUUUGGUUGUAGAAUCAAAGACUUGAAAGAAAUCCCGAGGUCCAUUCAGCCCAACAGCAUUCUGCCAACUAGGAAUAUGCAUUAAAAACGCUUCUGACAAGUGGCCACCCAGUUUCUGUUUCAAAACUUCCAAAGAAGGAGACUUGAUCACA
rfam:Anolis carolinensis chromosome 2, whole genome shotgun sequence.